rnacentral:lncRNA from 1 species
UUUGUUCAAAUUAAGAGUAAAUAUUAUCCGGAUUUAGUUGCCAUAGCCUAUAGUACACUCAUGAUUGAGAUUGAUGAGGAAGAUGAAUCAAAUUUCACAUUAUUCUUCAAGAUAGGAAGAAAGGAUUAUAGGCUAGAUGGUGAUGAGUUAGCCACCAUUUGGGAGUUGCCAAAUCAAGGUGACUUGUUUCAAGGUGGUAAAACCCCAAUUGAUGAAUGGGGUUAUUCAAAGGACAA